rnacentral:rRNA from 1 species
UUGUCUUUUAAAUAAAGACCUGUAUGAAUGGCUGAAUGAGGAUAAACCUGUCUCUUAUAACUAAUCAGUGAAACUGAUCUCCCAGUACAAAAGCUGGAAUAUACACAUAAGACGAGAAGACCCUGUGGAGCUUAAAACAAACCACUAAACAAGUAUACCACUACCUUAGUGUACGUUUUCAGUUGGGGCGACUUCGGAAUAAAAUGAAACUUCCGAGCACAGAGGCACUUCCUCUAACUAAGGCCAACAAGCCAAAGACCCAUAAACGACCCGGCCUUGCCGAUCAACGAACCAAGUUACCCCAGGGAUAACAGCGCAAUCUUCUUCGAGAGCCCUUAUCAACAAGAAGGUUUACGACCUCGAUGUUGGAUCAGGACACCCAAAUGGUGCAGCCGCUAUUAAAGGUUCGUUUGUUCAACGAUU